CAGUAGCCGCGGUAAUACGAAGGGGGCUAGCGUUGUUCGGAAUUACUGGGCGUAAAGCGCACGUAGGCGGAUAUUUAAGUCAGGGGUGAAAUCCCAGAGCUCAACUCUGGAACUGCCUUUGAUACUGGGUAUCUUGAGUAUGGAAGAGGUGAGUGGAAUUCCGAGUGUAGAGGUGAAAUUCAUAGAUAUUCGGAGGAACACCAGUGGCGAAGGCGGCUCACUGGUCCAUUACUGACGCUGAGGUGCGAGAGCGUGGGGAGCAAACAGGAUUAGAGACCCCCGUAGUCCCUGUCUCUUAUAC
rnacentral:rRNA from 1 species